rnacentral:rRNA from 1 species
UACGGGGGGAGCAAGCGUUGUUCGGAUUUACUGGGCGUAAAGGGCGCGUAGGCGGCCACCGCAAGUCGACUGUGAAAUCUCCGGGCUUAACCCGGAAAGGUCAGCCGAUACUGCGGGGCUAGAGUGCAGAAGGGGCAACUGGGAAUUCUCGGUGUAGCGGUGAAAUGCGUAGAUAUCGAGAGGAACACCUGCGGCGAAGGCGGGUUGCUGGGCUGACACUGACGCUGAUGCGCGAAAGCUAGGGGAGCGAAGCGGG